rnacentral:tRNA from 1 species
GGGAGAUUAGCUUAAAUGGUGAAGCAAUUGACUGUUAAUCAAGAGAGUGCAGGUUCAAGUCCUGUAUCUCCCGCCA